GCCAGCAUAGUGUAAUGGUUUGUAUGUUGGACUAUGACUCUGAAAACCAGGGUUCGAAUUCUUGCUCAGCCA